CAUUACUAGAGCAAAGGAUAGACAGCGCCCGCGGAGCCUUGCUCCCUGGGGCUACCCUACUUCGGUAAGGUUUAGAGUCGUCGGGCCUCUCGAAGAAGCUCGGUCCUGAACUCCACCCUUGAAUAAAUUACCUUUGUUGCUUUGGCGGGCCGCCUCGUGCCAGCGGCUUCGGCUGUUGCGUGCCCGCCAGAGGACCACAACUCUUGUUUUUAGUGAUGUCUGAGUACUAUAUAAUAGUUAAAACUUUCAACAACGGAUCUCUUGGUUCUGGCAUCGAUGAAGAACGCAGCGAAAUGCGAUAAGUAAUGUGAAUUGCAGAAUUCAGUGAAUCAUCGAAUCUUUGAACGCACAUUGCGCCCUCUGGUAUUCCGGGGGGCAUGCCUGUUCGAGCGUCAUUAUAACCACUCAAGCUCUCGCUUGGUAUUGGGGUUCGCGGUCUCGCGGCCCCUAAAGUCAGUGGCGGUGCCUGUCGGCUCUACGCGUAGUAAUACUCCUCGCGAUUGAGUCCGGUAGGUUUACUUGCCAGCAACCCCUAAUUUUUACAGGUUGACCUCGGAUCAGGUAGGGAUACCCGCUGAACUUAAGCAUAUCAAUAAGCGGAGGAAAAGAAACCAACAGGGAUUACCUCAGUAACGGCGAGUGAAGCGGUAACAGCUCAAAUUUGAAAGCUGGCUCUUUUAGGGUCCGCGUUGUAAUUUGUA
rnacentral:rRNA from 1 species